CUUCUUAGAGGGACUAUCGGUGUUUANCCGAUGGAAGUUUGAGGCAAUAACAGGUCUGUGAUGCCCUUAGAUGCUCUGGGCCGCACGCGCGCUACACUGAUGAAGUCAUCGAGUUCAUUUCCUUCAUCGGAAGAUGUGGGUAAUCUUUUGAAACUUCAUCGUGCUGGGGAUAGAGCAUUGCAAUUAUUGCUCUUGAACGAGGAAUCCCUAGUAAGCACAAGUCAUCAGCUUGUGCUGAUUACGUCCCUGCCCUUUGUACACACCGCCCGUCGCUACUACCGAUUGAAUGGCUUAGUGAGG
rnacentral:rRNA from 3 species